UGCAGACGGGCCUUCUUCCU
rnacentral:piRNA from 1 species